UGGACAUCCAACCCCACCCACAUCUAAGUGUGACCUCGGAAGUCACGCCCAUAUCCGAAUACGUCACAGUCUCAUUCCUUUUGAAGCAGGAAGAAGCAUCGAUAAGAAGCAUUUUACGCAUUUUCAGUCCAAGCCUGAUGCAGAGCAGUUCUGCCGGGAUGAGGGGUCCCUACUGCAGUUUCAUCAGAAAAGAAAAUGACUCAUUACAAUUCACUUGGAGGACCACAUAAGCCAUGCAGUGGUGCGUGGAGGAGCGCCAAGAGGACAUAAAUUGGAAGUUUGUAAGGGGCAUUGGUCCAGCGUGGUACAGAGUCACCGUCAGUUAUUCCGUGGGGAGGUGAAAGGGCCUGCCUUUCUCCAGAUGGAGGGUAAAAAUCAACAGAAUGCCAUCAAAGACUACCUGGGGGGAGAAUCGGAUGGAGCAAGAGAUGUUUUUUUAUUCAUGUUUGAGUAUCUGGAGGAGCUGGACAUAUUCAUAUCAAAUUGUCAAAUUGUCCUAAAGGUCCAUACCAUAUUCUGUGAAUAAUCUAUCAGAGCAAGCAAUCUUUCUGUGUAGCCUAUGUAUGUGUACUGCAUAUGAAGAACUGUUUAUCUGAUCAUUCAACUGCUCAGACCGAUGAUCUU